rnacentral:SRP_RNA from 1 species
GCUGGGCAUGGUGGCACGCGCCUGUAGUCCCAGCUACUUGGGAGGCUGAGGCAGGAGAAUCGCUUGAACCCAGGAGGUGGAGGUUGCAGUGAGCCGAGAUCACGCCACUGCACUCCAGCCUGGGUGACAGAGCGAGACUCUGUCUCAA